rnacentral:rRNA from 1 species
UACAGGGGGGGCAAGCGUUGUUCGGAAUUACUGGGCGUAAAGGGCUCGUAGGCGGCCAACUAAGUCACACGUGAAAUCCCCAGGCUUAACCUGGGAACUGCGUGUGAUACUGGAUGGCUUGAAUUCGGGAGAGGGAUGCAGAAUUCCAGGUGUAGCGGUGAAAUGCGUAGAUAUCUGGAGGAACACCGGUGGCGAAGGCGGCGUCCUGGACCAACACUGACACUGAUGAGCGAAAGCCAGGGGAGCAAACGGG